rnacentral:rRNA from 1 species
UACGUAGGGUGCAAGCGUUGUCCGGAAUUAUUGGGCGUAAAGAGCUCGUAGGCGGUUUGUCGCGUCUGCUGUGAAAACCCGAGGCUCAACCUCGGGCCUGCAGUGGGUACGGGCAGACUAGAGUGCGGUAGGGGAGAUUGGAAUUCCUGGUGUAGCGGUGGAAUGCGCAGAUAUCGGGAGGAACACCGGGUGGCGAAGGCGGGUUCUCUGGGCCUUACCUGACGCUGGAGGAGCGAAAGCGUGGGGAGCGAACAGG